rnacentral:rRNA from 1 species
AUACUGGCCAGAGACCGAUAGCGCACAAGUAGAGUGAUCGAAAGAUGAAAAGCACUUUGGAAAGAGAGUCAAACAGCACGUGAAAUUGUUAAAAGGGAAGCGCUUGCAGCCAGACUUGCCUGUAGUUGCUCAUCCGGACUUUUGUCCGGUGCACUCUUCUAUAGGCAGGCCAGCAUCAGUUUGGGCGGUUGGAUAAAGGUCUCUGUCAUGUACCUCUCUUCGGGGAGAACUUAUAGGGGAGACGACAUGCAACCAGCCUGGACUGAGGUCCGCGCAUUUGCUAGGAUGCUGGCGUAAUGGCUGUAAGCGACCCGUCUUGAAACACGGACC